CUCCAGGGAAGUCCUAGUGUUGCACCCC
rnacentral:rRNA from 1 species